AGUCCUAUCAUGUUGAAAAACCAGUUCUCAACAGAUCACCAAAGUUAAGCAACAUUGAGCCUGGUCAUUACCUAGAUGGAUGGGCACUUGGGAAUACCAGGUGCUGUAAG